rnacentral:rRNA from 1 species
GAGUUUGAUACUUGGCUCAACGGACUUGAACGCUUGGCGGCACGCCUAACCCAUGCAAGUCGAGCGGUAACAUACUUAGUAGCAAUACUAAGUGAUGACGAGCGGCGGACGGGUGAGGAACACGUAGGAAUCUACCUUUAAGCGGGGGACAACCAAGGGAAACUUUGGCUAAUACCGCAUAACAUCGAAAGAUCAAAGCUGCCGGUAACGGUGGCACUUAAAGAGGGGCCUGCGUCCGAUUAGCUAGUUGGUAGGGUAAAAGCCUACCAAGGCGAUGAUCGGUAACUGGUCUGAGAGGACGACCAGUCACACUGGGACUGAGACACGGCCCAGACUCUACGGGAGGCAGCAGUGGGGAAUCUUGGACAAUGGGGGCAACCCUGAUCCAGCGAUGCCGCGUGAGUGAAGAAGGCCUUCGGGUCGUAAGCUCUUUAGGUUGGGUACGAAGGUUAUGUGGGAGUAAUCCAUGUAGCUUGACGGUACUAACAGAAU